rnacentral:rRNA from 1 species
UACGUAGGGUGCAAGCGUUUGUCCGGAAUUAUUGGGCGUAAAGAGCUCGUAGGCGGUUUGUCGCGUCUGCUGUGAAAACUCGGGGCUUAACCCCGGGCCUGCAGUGGGUACGGGCAGACUAGAGUGCGGUAGGGGAGACCGGAAUUCCUGGUGUAGCGGUGAAAUGCGCAGAUAUCAGGAGGAACACCGGUGGCGAAGGCGGGUCUCUGGGCCGUAACUGACGCUGAGGAGCGAAAGCAUGGGGAGCGAACAGG